rnacentral:rRNA from 1 species
CCUACGGGUGGCUGCAGUGGGGAAUAUUGGACAAUGGGGGCAACCCUGAUCCAGCCAUGCCGCGUGUGUGAAGAAGGCCCUCGGGUUGUAAAGCACUUUUAGUGAGGAAGAACGCCUGGUGGUUAAUACCCAUCAGGAAAGACAUCACUCACAGAAGAAGCACCGGCUAACUCCGUGCCAGCAGCCGCGGUAAUACGGAGGGUGCGAGCGUUAAUCGGAAUUACUGGGCGUAAAGCGCGCGUAGGUGGCUUGAUAAGCCGGUUGUGAAAGCCCCGGGCUCAACCUGGGAACGGCAUCUGGAACUGUCAAGCUAGAGUGCAGGAGAGGAAGGUAGAAUUCCCGGUGUAGCGGUGAAAUGCGUAGAGAUCGGGAGGAAUACCAGUGGCGAAGGCGGCCUUCUGGACUGACACUGACACUGAGGUGCGAAAGCGUGGGUAGCAAACAGGAUUAGAUACCCUGGUAGUC